rnacentral:lncRNA from 1 species
GUUGUUCUUGUUCUUAUGGAAGACGAUGAAAAACUUAAAGAAGAAAGAGACUUUGCCUUCAAGACUAGAGAGAAGACAUCCAAAAGUUCCGCUGCGUCCUCAGCCGACACCAUCAAGGAUCCCAACUAUAAGCCGUGCUAUGUUCCUGGAGCCACUGGACUUCCAUCCUUAGACAACAUACCGUCGGUAGCUGACCUGACUGCCUCCUUUACUGCCCGAAAGGAGGAGCGUCUGCGACAGGAAGCUGAGAAGAAGGAGAUUGAGAGGAGGGCCAAUCUGAGUGAAGACGAACUGAAAUGGGAGGAUGCAAGCAAAGGCGGCAACGUUCAAGACAAUGCCUGGGGAGGACAGAAAUCAGGGGAAGAGGAAGCAAAAC